GUCUAUGGCCAUACCACACUGAAUACACCCAGUCGCAUCUGAUCUCAGAAGCUAAGCAGGGUUGGCGCUGGUUAUUACUCAGAUGGGAGUGUAUCAAAGACA
rnacentral:rRNA from 1 species